rnacentral:rRNA from 1 species
UGGGGGAUAUUGCACAAUGGGCGAAAGCCUGAUGCAGCGACGCCGCGUGGGGGAUGAAGGCCUUCGGGUUGUAAACUUCUUUUGCUCUGAACAAGGCAUGCUAAUGGGUGUGUUGAGUGUAGGGGUUGAUUAGCGCCGGCUAACUACGUGCCAGCAGCCGCGGUAAUACGUAGGGCGCGAGCGUUGUCCGGAAUUAUUGGGCGUAAAGGGCUUGUAGGUGGCUGGUGGCGUCUGUCGUGAAAGCUCAUGGCUUAACUGUGGGUUUGCGGUGGGUACGGGCUGGCUUGAGUGCAUGAGGGGAGGCUGGAAUUCCUGGUGUAGCGGUGGAAUGCGCAGAUAUCAGGAGGAAUACCGGUGGCGAAGGCGGGUCUCUGGGCUGUUGCUGACACUGAGGAGCGAAAGCAUGGGGAGCGAACAGG